rnacentral:rRNA from 1 species
GACGAACGCUGGCGGCGUGCUUAACACAUGCAAGUCGAACGAAGUGGCGAACGGGUGAGUAACGCGUAAUCAACCUGCCCUUCAGAGGGGGACAACAGUUGGAAACGACUGCUAAUACCGCAUACUGAAGGAGGGGAUUGCGUCUGAUUAGCUAGUUGGAGGGGUAACGGCCCACCAAGGCGAUGAUCAGUAGCCGGUCUUGGAGGAUGAACGGCCAAAUUGGGACUGAGACACGGCCCAGGCCACUAAGGGAGGCAGCCGUGGGGAAUCUUUCGCAAUGGACGAAAGUCUGAAGGAGCAACGCCGCGGGAGUGAUGACGGCCUUCGGGUUGUAAAGCUCUGUUAAUCGGGACGCGGUACCGGAAUAGAAAGCAACGGCUAACUACGUGCCAGCCGCCGCGGUAAUAC